UCAUUUUUUUUUUUCUCUCUGUAAAUCGAAUCUCUGGCUCUGUUCGCGCUCCGAUGCUCAACUUGUGGUCGGAAAUUUGGAAGGAUGGUUGUUGUUCGCCAAGUUCAGAUAUAUUUGCAGAAAGGAGAAUUUCCUUGGAAAUGCUAGAAGGCUGUAUGAUAGGUAGUGGGAAUGUGGGAUAACAAGAGCUUGAUUGUCAAACUUUUGAAAGUAGGAUUUGCUCCGUGCUCUUGGGUGUAAUCUUACUCCUACUUGUGACAUAUAUAAAUUCUGUUAUCACAGCUUCAAAUUUGCCACGGUUAACAGCCAAUUUUGGUCUUUUUGCAUGGUUUGGAGUGUUUUUAGCAUCAGGUGGAUUAAUUCUCUUUCAUAGAUGUAGCAGGAUCCCGGAUAUAUCAUGGGAAACAUACAUGAUUCAGACAACAUGAAUUAUCGUGUAAGUUUGUACCUGUUAUUGGUUAAAUAGGUCAUCGAGAUCUUCUUGUUGUUGCUUAAUCUUUCAUGGGUAUUGUCUAGGAGCCAUUGCUGAAAGCUCAUAUUAAUAAUCCAGCUUUGCUUGCCGGGAUUUGGGCUUAGCUGUGCUCAACUUGCAAGGUUGUUCGGCCACUCCUUACGAAGCACUGUUCUACCUCCGAGACGGUUGUGUUGAGCAAUUAGAUCAUCAUUGCCCAUGGGUAUCCAAUUGCAUUGUAAAGAUUCUUAACAGAUGCAAACUCGAUUCUAAUAGUUUGGCUGCUCUCAAGAUCUCGAAAAAUUAUGAAAACAAUCAUGUUAUUGAGCAAAAGAGAUGAAGUAUCUGAAACUCCAAUUUUUUCGAUGUCUCCGUUGCUUUUUGAGUGAUUGAUUGAUGUUGGAAUAAUGACAUAGAUUUUGCUCGUCUGUAUCGAUCUUAUCCAUUAAUUUUGUUGGAAGAUUCUGCUCUAUUUUUUUUUGCGUGAUGUUGAACAUACGCGAGGAAGAAUGAGGAAGGAGACAGA